AUCACAGGGAACUUUCUAUGAAGUCCUGGGAUUAAGGGAAGACAGGCGAUGAAGAAAGAGUCUCUGUUACAGGCAUCUGAGCCACCUGCACACACAACCUACUUGUGUCUUCUGAACCCGCUUGAGCCCAGCCUCUCUCAUGCCAUUCCACGGGACAAGCCAGUGCCAGGGAUCGAACCUGUGCCCUCAGCAGUGAAAGCAUGGAGUCUUAACCACUGGACCAGCAGGGAAUUCCCUCAGGAUGCUUGCUCUUGGAACCCAAGCCCCAUGCUGUGAGAAAUCCCAACAGCCACAUGGAAAGGCCACAUGUAGGUGUUUCGCCUACAGGUCCAAGUGAGGUCCCAGCCAACAGCCAGCAUCAACCAGACAUGUGACUGAGGCCUCAGUGAUUCCAGGCCCCAGCCUUUGAGUCCAGGUCCAAGCUGAUGCUGAGCAGAACAGAGACAAGCG